rnacentral:rRNA from 1 species
UGACUAUGGCGAAGCGCCCAGAACACGAUCCCAUUCCGAACUCGAACGUUAAAUGCUUCAGCGCCGAUGGUACUUUGUCUUAAGGCACGGGAGAGUAGGUCGUCGCCA